CCAAAGGCAGUGGGGAGGAGAGCUCGGCGUUUUGUGGUAAGUGUCUGUGUGUUACAUGUGAACGUGUGUGUAGAACGACGAGUGUGCACUCUCAUUCGAACUACAAGACUUGUGGAGAUGUGAAUAAGUUUGUUACUUGUGACUGCUGUGGGGGACCAGGAGGGAAAGUUUGGCGUAUGGUGUGUCGCGUGUAGCAUGUAGCGUGUGCGAUCGCCUCGCGUGUUUGUGCGCUAGCUAGCGUUGUGUCGUUCGCGAACGAUUCAUUCAAAGGAACCGAAUCUUUUAAGUGACUGUACUGAACCGAAUCACUUCCUCGAGGGAUUCGUUCGUUUCUCACUUCAGUUGAGCUGAGGUGAAAAACAGCAUUGCCAGUUGAGCAACCGGAGAAUGAGGGACCACAUGCACCGACAACUGAAUCACUUUGUGAAUAAAUCAUGCAUUGAGCUACACUCUCUGGAAUAAUUUUUCUUGGACAAAACUACCCUCCCUUUUUUUUCAGUGCUAAAUUGCCAUCACAACAACUUGCAUACAAUAGGACACAGCAUGUAACAAGCAGUGCAUUAAACCCACAGCAUCCUAUCAUUACAGCGGUUUGUGAGAGAACGAUGCAUGUUCAGUUUGAAUUCCUCUAAACAUUCAAUGACCGAAUCACCCACUGAGCCCAGUUUACCGAGCAGACCUGAUAGAUAGCAUACCGUAGGACAUUACACUUUAAACAUCAUGACUUCUAAACAAGUUAAUUUUUACAAACCUGUUUGCCAAAACAACACAGCCAAACACUCUUGUCUCCCAGUCCCAGAAGCUUUGAAUUGAACUGAAUCCUGAAACGUUCAGCUGUGUAUCAGUUCAGGAGGUCAGAGAUGCAGGCUUCUGCUGACAAGCGCUUUUGAACAAAUCUUUCUAGUGAACUGAUUCUAGUAAUUCAGUACAUCCAAAAGAAUUGCUUUGUCCAUCACUAGCACUAGCUACACUCAGUGACAGGGCCUCUCCCUCAUACACAUUUUAAGUGUAAUGCACAUGCCCAAAGUGGAGCAUGACUUAAGCAUUUUCAUAAAAAAUCCCAGCUCGCUGUUGACAAUGGUGGCUUGGAUGUUCCAGAAAUAUCCCAAGCUUGGAGGGCGUUUUUGAAAGUUACCAUUUUAGGUUGGCUAAAACACCAUUUCUGUUACCAUAUAUAUCAUAAAUAUUUAGUUUUCACAAGAAAUAAUAAGUCGUUAUCACAACAUGGCAGUGCAUUAAAAAAAAAAGAAAAUCCAUGUCUGUUCUAGCCUUCCGUACUGAAUAUCCAUCUGAAAGACAUCUCUUCCAGCUGUUUCGUCUGUAUAACCUAAAACAAAAUGGAGGUCCUCAUGACUCGUUUUUUUUCCAGCCUCUAUAUUUAGGAUGAAUUUUUGCUGAGACUCCUUGGUUGUCUUUGUGGAAAGCUUGUUAACAUAUCUUUCUUUUCAAUAAGCAUCAAGCAAGAUAACUGGUCUAUUUAUUAGACUUAUCAAAGUGAAAUGUAAAAAUAAUAUUGCUGCUCUCCAGAGAUUUUAAGAACCUUCAAAUAUCCUUCAGUUUAUUGUUCUUGGGUUACAGUCACAGCUUUAUGAAUAUGUUUUAGGAGGCAGUGAUCCUCACAAAAGUAAUAGCGACAGCAAGCAGCUGCCUUCACUGUCAAUUACUAAUAAUCACAUCCAACCUUGAGCUGAUAAAUAAAUCUCAGCAUCAAAGUUAGUGUGUGUGUGUGUGUGUGUGUGAGUGUGUGUGUGUGUGUGAGUGUUUCCACUUUGAUUGUAAGACACGAGCCCAAUCCAGAUUUAGCCUCCAUGACGUCUGUCCUAGUUAUUACCUAAAAGACGCCCUGAUUUUGUCCCAGCUGGGUGUUUGUGGUGUUGAAGUUUGCACAGCAAAUAUCCUUGGCAGUGCUGGUGUUGUGCACAUGUCUGAGUGUGUGGGAAAGAUGUCGAUCCACAGUCUCUUUGACACUUGGAUUUAAGUGUGAUGAGCCCACACCUGGUGGGAUAAUGAGUUUCUGGACUUGUUGGUAAGACGAUGGCGAAAAUCUCUCCUCGCUUUCACUGAGUUCAUGUAAAGAACAGUGAAAAUGUCUCAGGAGAAUGACUCAACUGUCUGUACACAUAAGAGUCUUUCUGUGUAUAUGUGGUUUAUUUGAGCGAGUGUGUGUUUGUGUUUCCAAAGUACAUGUGUACCUCUGUGAGUAAGAACAGUUUGUUCAGUCUGUGCUCUGCUGUAUUAGCUAUCCGUGUGUGCAUGCAUGCCUGUAUGUGUGUUUACGUGACAGAUCUAAUUUACAUGCUGAAGUGAACACUUUUCUGCACUUACCGGUAAUGUGUGAGGGUGUAGGUGUUUAAAUGUGUGUCAUAAGUACCCGGAAUCAAAGUUAGAUAGCCGUAUAACAGACAGUUGUGUUUUUUUUUAGUCCCGCUCUGAGACCAUAUCAGCAUAGUAAUCAUUGCACACCAGACAGAGCCUUUAACAAUUUAAUGUUGUGUGCAGAAUAGAGACGGGAAUCGGCGCGUGAGGGGAGGAGCAGAUGGAGAAGUGCAGUGCUACCCAGCUGAGCUGAAGCUUACACUUCUACAACCAGAGGAAAGGAUGCCUGUGAAAAGGAGUUACGGAGAGGGACAGAUAAACACUAUAAAAGACAAAGACUAUACGAUCAGUAUACGUCAGUUUAAGUCAGGGGUUUACAAGAGGAAUUAUAUGGCACACAUCACAUUAUUACAUAUUGUAAAUAAAUAUCUACAACUCUGUCCAUAUCAGGGGAAGACAGCUGUGAGCCACUGUCCACAGAAUCCUACGAAACAUUGAUUUUAGACACGUUGGGUGCCUAUGGUCUGGCACUCUAAGCACUCCACGUCAGCCCAGACCCUCUACUUCAUUUCUUCCCCUGUUCUAUGCUCCCUACAUUUCUUAUAUCUUCGGUUGACUUGUCUGCCCAAAAUAUAACCUUAAACUUUUUAGACAUUUGUCAUGACAAAAAUAAUAAUUGUGUCUGUUUAAAUCUGUGCUCAAUUUUUUGUCGAUUCAGUCAGGAGCAUCAAAAGAAUUCAUUACUUCAGAAGGGCAGGAGACUAGAGAAAAUACUAUCGAAACAUAGUCCAUUUACAAAUGUAUAUAUGAUAUUGAUAAGAUCAGGUGCAGCAAAGAAGGAGGAGCUGAAAUGGAGGUGGGUUGCAAAGCAGUUGAUGAUAAGGCAGACUAGAGCAGUUUGAAUAAAGCACCCACGCUGACAUUUUCACCUGGAAGUGAGGAAGGUAAUCUACUCAGCUGUCAGCUGAUGCGGACUGGAGUUAGGAUCAACUGAUGUAUAGUGGAUUGAUAUUGACUUUGGUGUCCUGCCUGAACAAACUACAUGCUCAAUUUCCCAAUACUUGUUGUGUAUACAACUUGAGCUGUGAAGAUGUUGAAUAUUAAGAAUUGUUCACUGCCUUUAUCAGACGAUUUAGUCCAGAUAAGUUUCCGCUCGCUUUGAGACUGGCAUUUUUAAGACAGAGUGUUUCUGCUACUUCCAAAGGCAUUUCUAUCUAGAGAACUUGAGUGUAUUUUCAGAGACUGUCCGGAUCCAAUCCAUCAAGAAUGAAAGCAGUCUAAGAUGAUUUAUGUUUAAAUUUGUUGUGAAAUAGUUGUUGAUUUGUUUAUCAUAUUGUUUGCUGGCUAGGCAGAUGCUGCCAUCUUUGUUAUGGCUGAUUGACCAAUAAGAGGCUAUUUCUACAAUCAGCUUAAAUGUUCAGUACAGCACAGAAGUACAACAGACAGAACUGUUUUAAGUGUUCGGCUUAUUCUAGUAUAAUUAAAUCUAUGCUCUUUCUGUAUCACUGCUCUCAGAAUGCACCACUGACUUUGCACAAAGGAGUCAGAUGAUACAGUCAUUUCUUUCAGGGAGCAGGGUUUUUCAUCUGUGAUAUCUAUAGUGCUCACUUUCCCCUCAUCGCCAAGACAAAGAAAAACCCAUUUUGGAGGCUAAAAGUAUUAAUUCACUGUUUUACAGUUAAUUUCAUGUGAAAAUGUAUUUGGAAUUUUCUCUCUGGUGAAAUUAUACAUGCCUAGUAUUUACACAAAGAAACCAGGCGUCAGAAAAAAAAUUGGAAAAGUGCCUUUUACCCCAGGUGGUUAAAAGGGUUUUGGCGCAGGACUUCUUGUCAGGAAAUGUUGUUGACUCGUGAUCUGCUCGUGUAAACAGCUAACAGUUGGUGCAAAUGGCUUGUUGUUGACUUUGCAUUAGUAAUGAAAGGGAAAUGUCUCUGUUCAUGAACAGAAAAUGCUAAAAAUUGAUGUUGUACACUUGUAUAUUGUACAGAGCUGUGUUUAACUUUUCAGCCCCAUCACCAUCUCAGCCUUUAGGGUUUCUGGUAAUGUCUCAUUGUUCAGGUCAGAGCCAACAUUUGCUGCUGCAAGAAACAGUAUAAAGUAUGAAAAAUGAGCUGUAUGACUAAAAUGUUUUUGGUGUUAGCUUUGCUAACAUAUAGAGGUACUCUUUAAUAAGAGUACAGCAGGAUGAAGCUCAAUAGUUGCAGACAAACCUUCACUGGAUUUGAAUUGUCUGAUCAUUGUGUGUGGGCUGUUGAUAUUUACCUGCAGUACACCUGCACAUCAAUCCAAGCCUAGUACCAUACAACAAAACUCAGUCUGAUUGACAUGGUAACAGAACACUUAGGCCUUAAAGCGCUCAGGUCAGAUUAUGUUUUGAGAGCUUUCUAACCUAAACAAUGAAAAUGCUGAAAUGCUCCACAGAGAACUGACGAUUGGUUCUCUGGGCUAUUCACCUCAAAUUAUUAAUUUAACAUAGCACAUUGUUUAACAUAGAAAAUCUUAUGAGUUAUGUGCAUAAGAGAACAAACAAAUUCAGCUCAAAAGUUCUACACAACACUGCUGAAACAGCACAGACCUGACAUACAUCUUUUACAAACAGCAGCUAUGCUAUCUUGACUUCACGGAUAAAGGGUAUGACAAGACAAAUCCUGUCCUCUCCUUGGAGAGUAGCGCAGAAGCCUGUAAGGAAGCCCAAAGUGUCUUGUCUUUUUAUCUCAGGCUGUCCAAAAGUUUGGUAUUUACCCAGAACUUCCAGAAAAUGUAUAACCUCAGAGCUUUGAUGUUUAUCAGGACAGAUAUAGAGCACUAACUCACUGUGCCACGAGGUAUAGCGUGACUGAAGCCUGCAAGAAGAUACCCGUUGUCAGAGAUAUUCUCUGAUUGUCUGAAUCGCAUCACAAAGAUGAUGAGGAUAACGGGAAAAAACAUUUUAUGCUUAAUUUUUCCUGAAGAAAUUUAAAUUAUUGGUAACACUUUACAAUAACCAUAAUUUAUAAAUGGAUAGAUAGUUUAUUAAUGUUUAAUCAUCAUUUAAAAACAGCAUAUAGACCAAUUAUAAAUGGCAAAUAGUUUUUAAUGUAAGAUAAUAGUUACUUUGCCAUUAAAAAGCAAUGAAAUUUUGAUCAAUAAUUUUCAUUAAUUAUUUAUAGACUAUCUAUUAAAGGUUUGUAUAGGGUUAAAAUAUUGGUUGUAAAGCAUCUAGAUUAAAAUUUGUGUCAGUAGCACUUUGUAAAUGUUAAUAUUUGGUUUUUAAACCAUCUAUAAACAUUACUUAGAUGUUAUUGUAAAUAGGGUCAGGGUUAGGUUUUUAAAAUUGUAAAAUUUACAAUUUAUUAAUGGUCUAUAUGCUAUUUAUAAAUGAUGAUUACACAUUAAUAAACUAUCUGCUUACCAUUUAUAAAUGUUCUAUUUACCAUUUAUAAAUCAUGAUUAUUGUAAAGUUUUACCAAAUUAUUUAUUUUUAGUUUUUGAAAAGCAUGUUAUUCAAAUUUCAGAUUUUAAACGUGUUGCUAAAUCCCCAAAAGUAUCAUUUAAAUGAAGUGUUGCUAGAAAGUAUUUCAUAAAACAUACAAAGCUGCUUGCAUCUCCAUCUGAGCUGUGUUUCGUUUUUAGUCUAACAUUCACUUCUGACAUUCAUUUUAUGUAUACAGAUUUUUUUUUUUGCAUCCUUUGAAGCCAUCAUUAUAUGACAAGCAUCACUGCAGUAAAUCAAUAUUUCAUUUUAAAGGCUGCUCAUCAUGUCUGUAUUCCUUGAACAUAAUUUCCAUCCUCCUUCUUUUUCAGACUUCAUUAUGACAAAUUUGACAAACUAAAUGCCAUGACCUACAUAUUUCAAUACCUGGCUUCCAUGUAAUUGGUUCUCUUAACUCAUCAAUCAUCAUAGGAGUCUUAGAUUGACAAACAGCCUGAGAUUUCAGUCCUCAGCCCCCCAAAAAGCAGGCCAAAGGGAUACAGGGGAAUUCUGCAUAGCCUCUGGCUAGCUCUCUGCAGAUCUGCGAUGUAUGGCCUGCAUGAUUCACUGAGAUGGGAUGUCUGUGAAAUAGUACAUUAAGGUGUGUCAAGGGAAAUGGGUUUUUAGAUCAAUAGCUUGAAGUAAAAGAGGGUUACAACAGCAGUGUAUGCAGUGCAACCGAUAAGUCAGAGACUGAUUGGAACAUCCUCUCAUGUUUUUCUGUGUCAGUGUUUUCUUAUUUAGGACAGGGCUGCCGAAAAUACAACAAAUUACAGUGGGAGCACGCAUGUUGUCUCUAGCUAUUUAAAUUUCAUUACAACCUCAUUUCAUCAGCCAGUAGUUAUUGUAGUAAUCUUCAUCAGUGAGAAAAAAUGAGAAAAUACUGAACAACAUAGCAAUGGAGGACUGAGUAUCUAUAUCUGUAUCUAAAUCUGCACCAAAGACAAUACACUGUACUUAUGCAUUGUGGAAAUACAACAAUGUUUUUAAAUUUAAUUUUUUUUAAAUGAGUUUGAAAUACAGGAGUUUUUUGGGGGGGUAUUUUCUUUUUAUUUAUUAUCCAGCUUAAGCGAGACAGGAAAAGAUUGUCUGAAGUAGGCCAGGAUGAGACACUCUUGUUUGCAGAGAGCCGUGACCCACCAAGGUGACCUGGUAUCAAAAAUGAAGUACAAAUUGAUUUUAGGAGAUGGAUUUUGGAAGGACAUCCAUGUCAAGCAGUGUGUAAUGUGCAACCUUAAACCCUGCUGGAAAGAGUAGAGUCUAUCAUGGGGGCCAGCUUUCUGUCUGUUUAGAUUGGUAAGUGCUAAGUGCAGAGUCACGUGGUCCCAAAAUCUUCCAACUGUGGCAUGUCGCUCCGCUGAGACGCAACACGAUUGAAUUGAAUCUCUUUCUAUCUGCCAAGAAAAAUAAAUCACCUAAACAGUCCCCAAUACAAUUUUAAACUUGUAUUUUAUUUUAUACUUGAUUUACUUGAUAUUUAAAGUAGCCCGCUAUGUGAAAAACCUCACCGGAUACCUCUGUGCUCAAGAGUUCUGCUAUUUACCUUCACAGUCAUUCCUGCGUGUACACUUUGUGUUUGUACUGCUGCCCACUUCCACUUAAUUCUGCUUUAACUGGUUUCCUCAGUUAAUAGCUGGAGGCGAAGCGUUGGUGUGAGGGAAAACAAUCAUUCUCCUGGACUGCAAUGAUUCAAAUGCAUGGAAUUAGAGUUUUUGAAAAUACAGUUUAAGUGUCAUAUCCUGCAUUGAGUCAUUACUGCUAAUCGACAAAGUACAAAGAGUGAACAACAGAAAAUAGGAUCAGAUUAUUUUCAUGGUAGGAUCAGAAACCCAGGGAUUUACACAUGAAGUAGAAGUUUCCUAUUUAUCCAACAUUCACGAUUACCCCCCCAAAAAUCCUACACUGUGUGGAAAAGGUGAAUAUAAUUAAAGUUACCAACUUAAACUGAUGAGAGACACACGUUUGGAUUUUGGCUCAAGCUCCUCCUCCCACUGAGUUGCUUGCAGCCAUGAUAUUCUUCAGCUCAACUCUGUGCUUUGGUUGGGUAAAUAAAACUUAAGAUUUAUUGUUUUAAGCUUAUUUAUUGCAAAAAAAAAAAAAAAAAAAAAAGCGGCAUGCAGCAGCUCUUAGGCAUUGGAUCCAGUGGUUUGUUCACCCUCCUCAGUGAAAACCAGAUUUGACAGAGGUGUUGAGACAAGAGUGUAUGCUGCAUCCAGACUAGCAGUCUAUGAUUUAUUGUUUUUUUUUUUCUUUUCUUCUUUUUUUUUUGUUGGGCCAUGCAGAUGUUUCCUCAUUUUCCCCCUUUGCCCUUAAUUUAGUGUUCAGAAAACGAGUCCCUCUAUGUGACUGUGCCAUCUGUGUCAUCUAGGAUACAGUCAGUGAUUGAUGACAUCAAGGACUUGACAGUCCUGAGCCCUCUGCUAUUAAGGCCUGCCAUACCCAGAUUUAGUACCCUGCUGAAAUAACUGGCCAUCACAGCUGCCAAUGAAUGUAGGCCAGAAGAAUACAUAAAGAGAGGGUACAUACGUCUCCGUGAGGAAAUCGAUAGCCAGCCUCUCUUGGGUUAGUAAUUUGCCAAAACCUUCAGAACCAAGAAUUUGGUAAAGCAAGGACCCCAUAUACAGAGAUUAUAGUCUUUGAGGUACUGAUUUGACUCACAACCCCAACUUUUGGGUGCAUGUCUGCCUCACUCUCUUCAUCCCACAUUAGCUGUGUCCAUAUAUUUGUCCAGUCUAUUGGACCAUCAGUAUAAAUGCACAUAAAUAGGCCAUUAUUUGUUGCUUACUUUGUUAAGAGGAAAUCAUACAAAUACAUCAACAAUGUAAAAAAGAGUCUAUAAUAAAUACAGCAAAAGACCAUCAAAUAGCAACAGUAAAGGACCGUGAAAACCUGACAUUUCUUUUAUUGCAUUAAAUAUACUGAAUAAGAGUCAAGUGAGUGACCGGAAAGGAAAAAAAAAAGAUUUUUACGGUAAAAAAAGUAAAAAUUAUACAUUUGCUGUGAAAACAAAUAAAUAUGCAUACAUUUCAAAAUAAAAUACUGUAAUAUUAAAAAUAUCUGAAAACCUUAAAUUUUACAGGAUUAUUUGGGCAAAACUAGAGUUUAUGGGGUUGUGCACAUUGACAUUUUCAGUGUAAAUCAUAGACUGUAUAUACUGUGGACAACCUGGUUCCGCCUUCCGCCUGUAUACGGAUUUGAAGCCAAAAAGCUCACGGUAAUUCCGGGUUUUUCUCCACUUCCUUGAAACCAGAGCUGCGCAGUAGCGAUGCGCGUAUUUGGCCGCGCAGUCGCCGAGAGUCCCUGUGAUGACGCUCGGCUCAAACAGCGUAUCCCCCCGGGUGAGCUACGCAAUCCCUGAACACCCAUAGGCUGUACCAGGUGUCAAUCAUAGAAAACAUGAACCCCCUAAUAACUUUUAAAAACGGAGCUGUACAGAAAAAAAAGGACUUGGGCAUAAACCAGUCUUACAAUAACUACAUGUCAACAUCACAAGCAGGGGGGAGAAAAAUUUAUGUUCUGUGUAAUAAAUUUCUAAAGUUUGACCACAGUCCCAUAAACUUUGCUGGCGGAGGCGGGAUUUAUGACCCCACUGCAGCCCACCAUCAGAGGGUGCUGUUCUCAGAGUGGCUUCACCCAGCGAGGAGGCAGACUCUGUCCAUUCUUUAUACAGUCUAUGGUGUAAAUCUGUUGAUUGCUAAGCAAACACAAACCUUCAUUUUUACAGAGGUGAACAUCUUAAAAAUAUGGUCCACUGUAAAAAAAAAAAAAAUCAAUAGCAAGUACUUUUAAAAAAGUGACAAAUAUCAGCAAUUGAAAAAAAUAGAAACUAGAAAUUGUAUCUUAUCAUAAAAACAUUUAAUUUCACAAAAUUUACAAAGCAAAAACAACUGUCAGGAUAACAUAUUUAAACUCAAGGUAAAAACCAAAGAGAAGGUUUCACUUGAUGUGAAUUGUUUUGAGCUGAUGAUUUAUCUGAUUUACAGAUGAUAAAAAAAACCUUAUAAGCACAAGAAUCAGAGAUGGCAGUUGUCACUGACUAUAAAAUACAGCUCUCAAAAAUGCAUCAGCAAAUGUAAAUGAAUUAAAAUAAGCACAAAAACACUAUUGUGCGACUCAUCAAGCCAUUUUCCCUUUCUAAAAAAAAACCUUAACAAAAAAAGCACAGAUAUCAAAAAACCAACAAUAAAGAAGAAGAAAGGAAGGAGGAAAAUACAAUCAUUUUAGACAGAAUUUUUAUGAACAUUUAUUUACCCCUCAGUGGAUGACUUUUACUGUACCUGAAGCCUCACAAAAGCCAACAUAAAUCUUAUUGAGAGGAGUUUGCAGACUUCUGGUCCUUACCAAGAAAAAAUAAUUUUACCAAAGAAGAAAAUUUAGAGUUUAGAGCAUCCAAGGAAAGUCAAAUUCAGUAACUACGUGAAAUUAAAAAGGAUCCGAAUGAAAUAAAACAUAAUAUUAGAUAAACCAAACGUGACCAUGCUUCUAUCACUAUCACAUGACUAGGUCUCCGGGUCUUACCUCAUCCACUUCUGAGUGCAAACGGCCGUGAUCAGCAACUGUUUGCUCCAUCAGAGUUAAUGAGCAGGAUCUGUUGUGCUUGAGCUCCUCAAAAUGAGCCUACCUCCAGGAACUGAUCAACACAUUUGGGUGGGAUCAUAUAUGCUAAGUCCCUCCACAUCUUAUUUGUUCAAUAAAUGGCUCAGAGGCCAGAGAGGACCUACACCAUUCAUUUGUCACCCAGCAAAUGACUGACCCUUAAAGUGCUGAGAGAGCUGGAAGGCAAAGUGAAUGCCCGACUGCAAUUGCGUUCUGAUAAUGGAUAGUUGGAAGGAGAUAUCCAUAAAGAGUGUCAGGGAUGACGGGAGAGGAGGGCAGGGAGGGAGUCUGGCCAAUCCUGGAGGUUGUACAGUACAGAUGACACCAGCUUUCUCCUCAAUCCCCUCUACAAGUGCUGGAUCAGUAUUCCUGGAAAGCUUUGCUUCUGCUUCCAGUUGGUGUAAACGCCUUUGUACGUAACUGUUGUUUUCUGUAAUUGGAGUGUGCCCGGUGAUGGAGGAUUUACUGGUGUGCCAAUAACAGGUGACUGAAGAUAGAUCAGGGCUGGCAGAGCGGCAGCAAAUUGUUGUUGUGCUUCAGUGACGGGGCAGUUUGUUAUCCGCUGACCACUUGCCAAAGCUGGCUUGCUGCCAGCGCAAGGACUCUAGCAAAGGUAAUGUCAGCCGACAGUGAUGAAGAGCAGGAAAGGGGAAUUGAAUGGGUCUAAGGCACAAAGUAGAUGGUGAGGGACAAGGGACGAUAAAAACUCUUUGAGCUGAGAAAGUGCCGAAAGAUUUUUAUCAGAUGUGGUCAGGAUUUUGAAUGCUCUUGGAAUUCCACCAGAAACCACAAUAAAUAACUGAAUUAGCGAUUUAAUUAAGCGGACAUCAACUUUCAAAGCUCUUCGAAAAGUGUUAUCUUUCCUAAAAAUGUACAACUGAGACUGGAUUUUAAUCUAGCCAAAAUGUUUGAGAGCAUCUCCAAAAUGUGUUUUAAAGGCAAACUUUAUCAGUGCAGCAUUUACUUCAACAACACAUCUAAUACAUCUAAUUUAUUGCAUCCAAGCAAGACACUGGAAAUUAUUGUUUUGUAUUUAAAAAAAAGUGUUGAAAUGAAAAUAAUGGGUUUUCAGACAUGCAGUGAAAAUCUUGUUUGGUCCACUGGUUUUUGAAAGUUAAUAGAUUGACUUUUGAAAUUCUUCCAAAAGGAAAAAGUAUUAUUAACAAGUUUGUCCUUAAAUCUGACAGUAAAGACAGACUUUCUUAUGAUGAUUUAAUCUGGAAGAGAAAACCUGGAGGAGAGCCAUUAGUGAAUAACAGAUCGCCUGAAAGGACACAGGGACAGCAGCUGCUGUGGUUUUACUAGGACACUGGGACACUCUUUAAUUCAUAGUCAGCUACUGUAAUAAAUAUUAACUCUCAUUUAAACUCCAGAGAUUAUUGCAGGGCAACCCUUAUUUUCAUAUUUUGAAAUGGAGUUUAAUUAAACACAGAUAUAAAGGUUUAAAAAUAUAUUCAAAAAGUGCACUGUCAUCAAUUUGCUGUCAUAACUUGUUCAAUGAGUCAUAUGUAGAAAAACCAUGAGGGACAUGCCUGUGUAACUGACGUCACUCCAUGUGACAUCUAAAAUCUGUAUUCACUAAGCUGAAUGAAUAUAGCAUUGUCAUUGUGGAUCUCUCUUUGCCCUUUAAUUUUAGCAUUCAAUGCUUUUUAAGUCAGCCGUAAAUGUUGAAUUCCAGGCUUGGUCUCAUCCUGAUGUUUGCAAAAGAAAGUAUCUCUACAUGCCAUUAGCUGGGCCAUGUGAGCAAAACAACAACUCGAAAAACAAGCUUAACUUCUCCUUCUGUCAUUUGAAUAACAAUGACCUCUAACAUGACACUAAAAGAAAAGAUCUGGACUAAAUCUAAGAUAAGAUAAGAAAAAAUAAGAUAAAGUAUGAUAUGAUAUGAUGAGAUAAGAUAUGAUAUGAUAUGAUAUAGAGAUAAGAUAUUAUAUGAUCUGAUGAGAUAUGAUCUGAUGAGAUAAGGUAAGAUAUGAUAUAAUGAGAUAUGAGAUAUGAAAUGAUGAGAUAUGAUAAGAUAUUAUAUAAGAUAAAAUAAUAUAUGAUAAGAAAUGAUAUAUGGUUGAGGAGAUGAGAUAUAAUGAGAUAUGAUAAGACACGAUAUGAUGUGAUGAGAUAUGAUAAGACGAGAAGAUUAGAUAAGAUAUAAGAUAAGACAAAAUAAUAUAUGAUAAGAAAUGAUAUAUAAUAUGAUAUGAUGAGAUGAGAUAUGAUAUAAUGAGAUAUAAGAUAAGAUAUGAUGAAAUAUAUGAUAUGAUGAAAUAUGAUAAGAUAAAAUAAUAUAUGAUAAGAAAUGAUAUAUAAUAUGAUAUGAUAUGAAAAACUUCAACUAUCCCCGAGGGGAAAUCCAGUAUCUUGGUUAUUAUGAACUGCUGCAUGUACACAGAUCCAGCCCUAGCUAUUUUUAUGACUCCCAGAGUGAGUUGAGGAGUUGAAAAGUCGAAGAAAGGGGUUGGGAGAUUGAUGUGCGUCAUCAGCAGGUCAGAAAUCUAUAUACAGCACCAGGAACACAUUGAAAAAACCCCAUGACACCCAGAUUUUACACCUAGUCUAGCAUGUGAAAAUCUGAAUCGUGCAGCAGUCCAGCUGAUUAAAAUGGAACACCUCUAUUCACAUGUUCAGUCAGCAGCCAGAUUUUACUCAAAUGUAUAAUUAAUGCUAGAGGAAGAGUGAUAAUGCAAGGCUGCCUGUGAUGACUUACUGCAAGAACUAAUCUUUUUGUUUGUCUGUUUUCAUCAGCGCUAGUCACCUAUCCCCAUCCAGACAGAUGUACACAAAUAACAUUUUUAUUAUACUUUACCCUGACAUUUUUAUCAUACUAUAAUAUAUUUUUCUCACACUAUGGUAUAUUUUUUUCAUUCUAAAAAAAUGAAAUUUUUAUCAUCAUAUACUAUGAAAUUUUUAUCUUACUAUAUUAUAUUUUUCCAUUCUAAUAAUGUGAUAUUUUUGUAUUUUUGGGAAGAGAGAGAGCAGCACAACUAACAAAUGAAAACAGAAAGAACAAUAAGCACAGCAAAUUAUCAAAUUAUAAAAAAACUAAAGUAAAAUUCACAGCUUGUUUGGAAUAUGUUUUGGAAGAUGCCUCUAUCAAUUAAAAAGCUAAGCUGAAAAAAAGCCUAUUGAUUAGAUGAGUGCUGUUGGGCUACAGCAAAAUGAUAUCUUAAAUCUGCUUAACAUCAAAAGAAUUUUAGCACUGUCAUUACAAGAAGUUUCCUUUUCACUCCAAUGACAACUUUGUGUCACCAAAAAGACUAAGAGAGCUGCCCUAUUGAAUGUAUCCAAAUAAAAGGUCUGUUGUGGUUUAAAGCAAAGUAGAGUAUUGGAUUUUAAGUUCACUUGUGGUAUUUAUUCAGACUCUAGGCCCAUUUUAAAAGAUGCAUAGUCUGAAGCACAUUGCUCAAAGUGAAUUAAGGCACAUAGAGGUUUUUUGUGAUGUUAUUUUUGUGUGUGUGUGUGUGUGUGUGUGUGUGUGUGUGUGUGUGUGUGUGUGUGUGUGUGUGUGUGUGUGUGUGUGUGUGUGUGUGAAAACCAACUAUCUGUUUCCCAAAGAGCAAACAACUUCAGUCAAAAACUUCAAAAGACUUCUGUGAGGGUCGUUUUCAAAUGACUCUUAGAAAUAUGAGAAAUUCAGGAGGUAGCUCAAGGACAACUGUCAGAGCAUAAAUUUCAGCUCUUAAUAGAAAAGUCAUUCUUGGCAUAUACCCAGCGUCAUUGGCUGAUGUAUUAACGGGCAUUAGGACAGGAGGAUCCGAUGCACAUUCCCUCUUAAAUCAGUGAGGGCAACAAGUUUCUGUAGCUAAAUCAUGACAAACAUCUUUAUCUCUAAACCAAAUGUUUUAGCAUUACAUCAUAUCCACUAAUGCACCUUCAGAGUGAGCUGAAAGGAAACUCGCUUUUGAUGCAGGUGGAUUGGCUCUUUUUCUAUUGAUCAUGAGGGAAUAAUUGGGGUUUGCUCAAAGCUCAUUUAACCAGCCACAUAUGGCUCACUAGAUGACAUUGCAGCACUUCUAAUUCAACCUCCAUAACUUCCACAAUGUCUGUAUCUCUGUAUAAGAAAAUCACUGAACUCUGCAGUGCACUAAUUACCAAAAAUACAGUUAAAACGUGCUGCAGAUUUUCAAUCAAUAAGCACCUGCUACCUACCUUGGGAUCAAGCCCUGCAGAUGAAUUGCUCCUACUAAAAGCAAAUUCCUGCUCUUAUAAGAAAAACACCUAAGGUUGUGUGCAUCAUGAAAUGAGAGUUUUCAAUUAUUUUCCAAUGACUUCUUGUUUUAAGUUAUUUUCCACUUAAAUUAGAUACAACAGUUGUUACCCUAUUACAUCUCAGACAAAGAAACUGCUAAAGAGGCCAGGCUGUUGUAAAAUAGAGCACUUGCUGUUACCAUGGUAACCAUGCAAUAUUUCCAAAGUUAUUCAGGUCUGAAAUCUCGAGGUUUACAGCUUCAGGCUUGUGUCAAUGUAAUAGGCACCUGCUGCACAAUUGUCUCUAAAUAAGUGUCAAUAAAGCAAUAACUAAAAAGGCAAAUCCCUCGCUUUCUUGGCAGGCCCCAGUGUGAAGUAUAUGAGGAAGGUGUGGCCUGCUGACACAUGUACAAUAAAUGAAGGGAUAGCACACUGAAAGUAUGGUAUAACCUGGGAAUGAAAAAUCAGCAACACUUUCAAAUUGUGAAAUAAACAGAUAUUUCAUGGAAAAUUUGCCAUGUGAAUUAUUACACACACACACAGAUACUCUCUCUCUCUCUCUCUCUCUCGCUCUCUCUCUCUCUCUCUCUCUCUCACACACACACACCUUCACGCACACACACUAUGCUAUUUUUUAUAUUAGCACUUUACUGAGGAUCUCCCUAAAACUUUGAGGAAAGCCUUUAGACAGUGUCUGAAGGCCAUUACAGUGAAGAAAAAGUGAGGACCAGCCUAAAUGUCCUCACUUCUGUAUUUGGACCUCGCUCAGAAGGUUACAAACUUGAUGAUGGUCCUCACAAGUAUAGCUGGACAAAUAUAUACACACACACACUCUAAUUAUCUCAAUAUAUUUGUUUGUGCGCCAAAUUUGAGGUUCUACGUGUGGCACUUUGCAUAUUUUCUCUGGCAAAUCUGCCACACUGGACCACUAUCUAAUCCCACAUAAUUAUCAAAGGAAUCAUGAGUCCCUAUCAUGCAUAUCCAUAGCUAUAAAAACUGGUUUUAUUCAAACCAGAGUGUAGAUUGCUUCUUGAAAUAUAUACAGAAUUCAAAUAUUCUUUCAGUGUGCUGGCAGAGGGGAGAAAAUAUAAGUCAACAUAAAUGAGCAUGCAUCUCCUGAGAAAAGCCAUAGGAGACUCAGCACCUGCUAUGGGAGGCCUUUCUAAAUGCCUUGAUAAACAACAGUCAGCUGGGGAGAUUUAAGGUGAAGAUAUAUUUCCCAGAGAAGCCAAAUCAAAUAUAAAUGUAACUUUAGUCCAAAUAGCAGCAAUAAGUAUUGAAAAGUUAUGGUAGCCAUCAGGGCUGUUGGGAUAUACUGGUAUUGACAGUAACCUUUGUCAAUAUCAAAAUAGUAGCAUCAGAGAAAAGAAAAAAUAAACACUAAUGAUAUGGUGCUAAAAUUAAACAUAAAGUAAUACUGUUUGACUAAAGGGUUUAUAAUCAGGGCCAAACACCAAGGGUGGGAGAGCCGUAUUAAAACCCCAGGGAUUACUACAAUUAUUAUUAAACUUUAUGCCAAAACAACUUCUCUUUUGGAGGCCCAGAAAUGUGUGAAAACUUACAAUUUUUGGCACAAACAUCAGAAGUGCUUGAACUUUAACUAUUUUAAUGCUCGCACAAAAAAUGCCAGAAGUUUUCAAAUAGCCCUUCCCAUAGAGGUUCCUUGAAAUGUUUUGUCAUUUAUGUAUCGAGCAAAAACCCACAAAAAAUCAUUCCUACCCAAACCCAACAGGAGGUCAGCAAAUUUGAAUUGAGAGUCAAAAUCGGUCUUAUUUUUGGUUAAUUUUAGGUUGUCUAUUUGAAAUCACACGUCAUGGGUUUGAUCCUAUCAUCUGCAGAUUUGCACAGUGUGUUAUUGACAGAAUACUAAGCCAAAUGCACCACACAUAAUAAGAGUCCCCCGGGGGGCACAAGGAAAUAUCAUGCUAAACUCUGCAAGUUGUUACUCCAAGGCCAUGAAAUAUAGCUGCGCAGAAUAACCUUGAGAAGUUGGUCAUCAUGUGUGCCAAAAACUGAGUCUUCCAGUCCCAUUGCUUGCUUUUACUGUUAAAUAAAAAAAAAACUUUAAGAGUGUCAGAGUGGUCAGUGGGGCCCAAUCCAUUACUAGAAAGUGUUGGCUGGAUAGGAGGAAGAGAUAGUUGCUUAGGGAAAGGGGCUGGACAGAGAAUGGGCAGAAGUAGGGGUGGGGGAGGGCAGCACUUAAAUAGCUGCUUAUUAGGCUCACCUCCCAGCAGCUGACUUACAGAGAUUGGAUUGGAAAGCAUGUCCUUGAGAGGUCGGAAUCACAAUAAGCCCGAAUUGAAAGUACCUCUAAUGUGCAGAUCAAAGACAGCCGGGCAGUGCUGACAUGGACCUAUCAGCCAUAGGUGGAGUCCUCCUCUUCCUCACAAGAUAAAUGGAAAUGGCAGGGCUAGGUCUUGUAUCUAACAUGUUGGAAGGUCCCACUCAUGGAAAGUCUGCGUUUUGGAUGAAGGGUAGAAAUAAUUUCUUGGACAGAUCCUUUGUUGAGAUUUAAAACGGUAUUAAUAAAGAAAAUUUGAACUCAGACAUAAGUUGCAUGGAGAAAAAGAGACAAUGCUACUUUUACGUAGCAUAACAUAUCUACAUAUUUCAUCAUGUUUUAUUGAAGAUUGCAGAUUACACACAUUGCUGCAUCUCUUCUAUUCACAAUACUGUUGUCAUGUUUCAUUUUUUUUUAAGCAUCACAAUCAAUCAGUCAUAAUAUGAUGAGACCAUUUACUGUAGAAAGUCCACUUAAGCAGACUCAUGACCAAAACCCUGUCAGACUGAAAUAAUCAUAAAUAAAAAGCUUGCAUCAGACUAAUGUUAUUGCAACCUGCUCUCCUGCCUGUGACAGUAUAUCUGUGGUGUAAUGUGUUAAUGCACCUUCGCUAAUUUAUGCUGGUUAUUUUGGUCUUGCGUUUAAAUGGAGGCACACACACAUUUUAUGUGUCAUUCUCACACCUGAGUACCCCCUUAAAUAAUUUUCUAUGGCUUCUCUGGGUUCCCUCUGGGAGAGUGGUAGCAAACCUUCAGCAUGACAAGUUUAUAGGAUCAGCAUUAUCGUACACUAAAUUUCAGUAUUACUACAAGAUCACAGCCAGCAUUAAAUUAGAAUGACAGGUUGCCCUGCCUAGGUUAUUAGGAUGGUGGUGGACCACAGGGUAUACACUACAGUGUAUAAUGUGAAACACAUUGAGAUGGAGCUACACUUAUGUACAUCUCAAAAAAAAAAAAAAAAAUUUGAGAGAGGUAAUUUUUAGUAACUUUAUCCAAAAAGAUAAUAUUUUAUUUAUUCUUAUAUUUGUGACAUAUGUGAAACCUUUUUCUUUAUUUUUAUUUUAUAGUGGCAGAAGACUGUCUUACAUGAUUCUGGUUCUGCUUAAGGUUUCUGCCUGUAAAAAGGAAGUUUUUCCUUGCCAAUGUAAAUGCUGUAAGUGCUACACUCAUGAUUGAAGAUGGGAUGGUAGUGGGUCUGAUCUUAAAUGACUUGGCCCAAUCUAAUCACAACUUUACAUUGGGUCUUUGUAAAUAGAGUAUGGUCUUUUUGUUGUUGAGUGUCUUGGGAUAAUACUGGUUGUGAAUAGGUGCUAUAAAGAUUGUUUGAUUUUUAAAGCUUGUGAAAAUCAGAAAUUCAGUAUCUCAUAUAUUGUUUUCUAAGAUCAGUCAAAAAAGGGACAAUUUUCCAGUAUAGAUGGUCCAAAUGUGAAAGAGGGCUUACAAAGGUAAAAAAAAAUGGCUAGGGGGUAGGGAUCCAUAGGUGAGGCCUGUGGGGGCCCAUAAUUUUCUUCAACGUCCCUGCAGAACCAUGGUUAGUACUUUUGUAUGGGUUUCUUGAUUCUCUCCAGUGUGGCAUUAAUGAAGUCAGCCUCUGGCACUGCUGAAGUUGCUUAGUGAUCUUCAGCUCAUCUGUGUCCUUGAGAUUGAUCUCCCUCAUCUUUUUCUUCACAAAUACCCUUCUUACCUCUCUAUGAAAUUUAUGUCAGGAAAAGCUGCUAGCCAAACAAGUCCAGUAAUAUCGUCAAACCAUUUGGUAGGAGUUUUGGCACUGUAGGCAGGUACUGAGUCUGACUGGAGAAGGACAUUGCUGCUGUUAACUCUACUCGUAUAAGACUGUGUUGGUUUUGGUCUUAUUAAAACACAAUGGACCAACACCAUAGAAGAUAACAUGGCUCCCAAAAUCAUCACAGACGGCAGAAACUCUAAUUUGGAUUUAUAACACCUUGGAUUAUGUCUCUCAACUCCUCCUACUCAUUCUAGAGCCUUGAUUUCCAAAUAACAUAACACAUUAGCUUUCAUCUGAAAGGGUGACUUUAAAACACUGACCACCGGGCUGGUUUUAUUUUUCUUUGUCUAACUGUACUCUGCCUGAAAAGCCCCUCGCCACAUGAAUCAAUAUCAUUUCCUAAAAAUUAAAGGUUAAAGAUAGAGGUGAUGUGAAUAGGCUCUUUGUUCACUGCAUAAGUGUUAACUGUGCACAGGUUGAUUCAUCAUGUUGUGUUGUAAAUGCAGAAAAAAGAGCUCACUCCACUUAUCCAACUUCAUAAAACAGUUUGAAGUUUUCUUUGCAUUAAAUAAAGGUUAAUGUACUGUUUAUAAAGUUAUAAGCUUAGGGUUAGGAGUCGAUUCCCAGGGGGUUUCUUCAAUCUAUCCCAUGCUCACAGCCCAUACAUUCACAUAUAUUUCAUAGCUAUCCUGUCUCAUGUGAACAUUGAAUUUUACAGCCCUAUGUAUGUCCCAGAGCAGCAUGAUAUAUCGCUGCUGUAAACUGGUUCUAUCAGGGGAAAAAGUCGUAUAUGGCCAUGGAGCAAAGGCAUGUCAUGGCUGACUCCCACAUGCUACACUCACCCAUUUCCAUGCAUAUUAUUACUUUGUUGGGGCUGACCCUGGUUUUUAUAGCUUGAAUAGGAAUUUAGAUGAAGCUGGUCUGAAUACUGAUGUGCCAAUGGACUCAUACUAUGUGGACACUAAGAUUUUACUCACUGUGUAUUCAAACAUAAAGCUAGCAUGAUUGUAUACUUAAUAAAUGGGUGACAUGAGGGAGAUGUGAGUCCUGCCACUUCAUAACAAACUUGUAUUCAGACUCCUGAGGUAUUAUUUUAAGGAAAACGCAGCACUGGCUCUUACAAAGUCCACAUGUACACAUUUACUGUUUAUAGUGAAACAGCAACAAAACACAGUUAUUUCAUUGCACAGAGGGCUAUGAUCUUAGAGCAAGCACACACAAAGGAAAUUCACAUAUCAUAUACAAGAGCAGCUCUGUAUUGACUAUAUCAUAAGAGCCAGAUUUCAAAAUCAAUAAGGAAUAAGGUGAUGGCUACUGAGAUGAUAUUUACAGGGCAUUGGAUAAUUAAAGUAAUAACUACGCCCCAUGCUUUCACCUGUUGUCAAAAUGAUAUGGCGAAAUUGCGGCAGACAAGGGACGAAAAGAUCGAUUUCACAAAGAGUGAGGGGCUCAUGACUUAAUAUUCUGUGGUCUUUUUACAGGUAUUAGCAACAGGUGCAAAAUAACUUUGUGGCACUGUGUCACAGAUAAUGUGGCUGGCUCACGGUCAUGCACGAAAAUUAUCAGGUAUCAAAGUCAAUGUAAAACAAAAGGAUCCUGUGCAACCAUAGAGUGUCAUGGCCACAGGUGGGAGCCCAGGGAGGCCCGAGCUGACACCUUAUGACAAAAGGUUUGCCGCACUAUUUGGAGAGGCAUCUCUUUCUGGCAGUCAUUCAGGCAUAUGUGCUAUUACUGCUGACAACAUUAAAUACAGCAUGACAUUUUUGCUAAAUUCACAAACCUCUGAGAACAAACCAUACACCUGUUAAUUAUGCUACAAUUAACCUUAAUGAACAAUAAAUAGGCUGGAUACUGAGUUCCACAAAGCAACGUCAUCUGUUGUCAGACUGAAAAUAGAGAGUGAAGGGGCAUUCGAAGGGGAAAACACCUGUUGUGAAUUGGUGCUCUAUAAACAAAGAUCCAUUGCUUUCUCUUAGUGCUUUGCAUCUUUUCUCCUAAUUUUUUUAUUUUAUUAUAUUAUAUAAUAUGGUAACACUUUAAUUGACACCUAUCUCUGUAACGCAUUAUUUAUAUAUGGGUAACACUUCACAAUAACCAUAAGUUAUAAAUGGUAAAUAGACCAUAUAAAUGGUAAGCAGAUAGUUUAUUAAUGUUUAAUCAUCAUUUAUAAAUAGCAUACAGACCAUUAAUACAUUGCAAAUUUUACUAUUUUAAAAACCUAACCCUAACUUUACAAUAACCAUCUAAGUAAUGUUUAUAGGUGGUUUAUAAAACACUUAUUAAUCAUUUACAAAGUGCUACUGACACACAUUUUAAUCUAGAUGUUUUACAACCAAUAUUUAAACCCUAUAUAAACCUUUAAUAAAUAGUCCAUUAAUAAUUAAUGAAAAUUAUUAAUCAUAAUUUCAUUGCAUGUUAAUGGUAAAGUAACCAUUAACAUACAUUAAUAAACUAUCUAUUUGCCAUUUAUACACCAUGGUUAUUGUACAGUGUUACCAAUAUAUGUAUAAUGUGUUAUAAUCACAUUAUAGCACUGUAUAACUAUAGUUAUAAACACUCAUAAAUGAUCAUAAUAGUUUAUAGCAAUAAUCAUAACACAUUAUAUACAGUUAUAACACAUUAUAAUACCUGACCUUGUAAGUCAUGAUAAAAUGCUUUACAAUGUGUUAUGAUUGUUGCUUUAAAGCAUUAUGAUCAUUUAUGAGUGUUUAUAACUAUAGUUAUACAGUGCUAUUACGUGAUUAUAAUGCAUUAUACAUGUUAUAGAGAUAGGCAUUAAAUAAAGUGUUACUUUUUUAUGUGAACCUGUGUUUUUUCUUUGCUCAAGUUUUCCUGUUUACCUCCCUGCCUUCCAAGUGCCAGGGUUUUUCCAAUAGUUUUCUCAAUGGGGGUUUUCUUGCCGGCCAGAUUCCAGUUUCCACUGCUUGUCUUUCGUUUUUGCGAUAAACUCUUUAAACACACAAACCCUGUGAGUCCCUGCAUUGAAGUCCGAUCAACUCAAAACUUAACACUUGCCUCACACCACUUACAUAUCAAAAUAGAUCAUAUUGAAUGAGUCUCAUUACUGUGUUCAUAAAAAAACUCAACUAUAAUUACCCAUGCACCUUUACACAGUGGAUCUCCAUGGUGGAUUGAUUGUUAGUGUGGUUUAAAGGUCAAAUGCAUAAAAAAGGUUGUGUAAUCUUCUUCUGAAAUAUUAAUUGCAUCCUUGACCAGACCCUGCUUCUGCAGGUGCUGAUGAAUAGAAAGCUGAACAAGCAGGUGAUGGUUUUAAAGAAGAGUGUCCUUGCAGGGAUUCUUUAUUUAUCCUGAUGGAUAUUUGUACUUUAAAAUCUUAUCAGUCAUACGUCAUUGAACAGCACAUUACAUAGUUAGACUUAGUUAUCCAAAUGCAAUGAUUUGUAGUUAUGAAAACUAAAAAUGUUGUCAUGAAGACCUAACAGACAAAAGCAAAUAAAGAGUUUGUGUGAAUGUGAUCGCUGCGCCACAUUUACACCAGAAACCCGAGGAUCUAGAUGUAUUCAGGAUUUUGCAUCAAAUUCAUCUCAAAGUGUAUUUCUUAUGGUGACUGUAAGAGGUAAUAUUUUGUAUUGCCACCUUUGUUAAAUAUUUGAAAGAAUGGCUAACACUAUUGUUUUUUGCUAAAUGGCAUUUUGUGUUAUUGGCUUUAUAUUUGUGCCCCUCUCCCAAAAAGAAAUGUCUUUACUUUGCUGCAGCUUAGGUAUUAAACAGCUCUGAACCUUUGGGAGAAACAGAAAACACAGCAAUAAGAAAACAACAGAGGCUGAAAAGUAAAAGUGACUGUCUUUUCCCUCCCACCACUACAAUCCCCCGAAUCGUAAUCAUCAUGACAGAGUCAAGACUCUGUCAAACAGGUCACUUUAUAUGGCAGCACUACAAGGAAAACUCACAGUAGAAGGGACAGGAAAAUUAUCAAGACAGCAAGAUUUUUUUCCUGGGCACUGCUGUGGCAAAAAGUGUCCUAAAAGUAUUAAAUAUGAACCAUCCCUUUGGGCAAACUGAUUUAAGCAAUAUCAUGUCACACAUUUAACAUUUUGGGUCAUGAGCUUUUGGUCAUAUUGUGAAAACAUGACAUGCUGGUGAGUCAUGAUUUGUUGUGAACAAACAUCUCUGAACCAAUACAGGAAAUAUCAGAGAGUAAAAGACACCAUUUUAGAGCUCGCACUACUGUCCUAUUUUGUUUUUCUUAAAUCCAACAAGUCCUGUUUUACUCUUUGGGUAACUUAUAGAUUUUCAUAAUUUAGGGACUUGUCAUAAAAUGCACUAUAAUAGCACACACUAACUCAACCAACUCAAACCUGUCCUUCUUUUUCAGUCUUUGGGUGUCCUGAGAGUCACAGGUAUAACUCAAAUACGAUAUGGUCUCACUAUUAUCUGCUCUGGCUGUCCAGCAUGAAAGAUGUUGGAAGAAAGAGUUCUAUGGACUGAUACCCUGUGACUGAGAAAGGAAGAAAAACCUCACUAAAGGGGUGUUCAAAGGGUGCUAAGAAAUACCUUCCUAUGUAUUAGCAAGAAGAAAAUAAUAGCAAAAUAACCAGACACUAGAAAAAUAAAACCCACUUUGUGUGAGAAAGAAUCAAAACACCCAAGAGUGGAUGCUAAGGGGAUUUAGUAACUAACUAGACCAGCCCAAAUGUUAGACAAGACAAAAACAAACAGUCCUCCCAAAGAACUCCCUUUUUAUUAGCAACAUUUUUUAUUAGCAUCACUUCGGUGCACCUUUCUGACAUGUUUUUACACCUCCCUAAAACAAUAUAAGGCUGAACUAAGGAGCUGGAGCUGUACUACCAAACACUUCUGAUACCAGCCGGAGCUGGGGUCUAUCAGGUCAGUACACAGCAAGAAAUAGCAGCAAACCCCCUCUAACAAACCAACUAUAACCUUUCUGCCAAACUACUCAGAUACAUGUGACUAAUUUCCUUGACAAAUUAGCUCACACCUGAAUACCUGAUGCUGGGAGAGGUUUGGAACAGGGCAGGUGGUACUACAAUUAACAAAAGAAUAACACCGGAGGGUUACAUGGGGGGUUUGGCUGAAUGCCAUAUCACUGAGUCUUAACUCAUGAGCCUUUUGUAACUAUUUUUUUUGCCUCAGUUCUUUCACAGUUUGCAAAUUUAUUAAGUUAGAUGCAGAUUUUGUUUAUCAGCCAUAAAACAGUUACAAUAAAUUAUUACUCUCUCAGCUGUUUUUAUAUAUUUUCCAGCAUCAAUGAGCCCAUAAUCAGGAUGACAGCAGUUUAAGUCUUUGUAAUACUGUCAGACAUCUCUGUUUUUCUCACCAGCCGUCUGUUCUGCCAGCACAACACAACAACAAUACUAAAACAGCUUGGCACUACAGGGUGCAGCCAACUCUCAGCGAAACACAAAACAGCACUGCUCCUGACAUCCGACUGGAAAGUUCCUGAAUCUGUGGAUACAACGAGAAUGACUCAAAGAACAUCACAACACCUACAGAGUGCUGUUGUAAACCUGUCUUAGCAUCAUGACUGUUACCUCCACCUGUAGGUUAAAACAAUGCUUUGCAUGAAAAGAAAGUGCAAGUGAUUAAUCCAACCAUGUUUGCUUUUUCUUCCAUGCACAGAUGGGAGCACAGAUUUUUUUAUCCAUAGAGUCAAGAUGGUUGCCAGUGUGAAUAUGGAUUUCAUGUAGGCUUCAUCGUUAAUCUUGAUGUCAACAAAGAAAUCUACACCUGACUCACCACAUAUAUCCAUACUGACUCUCAAUGUAUAAAUGUAAAGAAACAAGAAUCACGUCUUCUCACAUACUUAUUCUGUUUUUGUGCAGUACAGCGAAACUGUUCUUGAUAAAUGAGAAAAUCAUAUGAAUCUGCAUCACUAUAGCAACCACAUGAUGAUUUAAGAACAUACUUAUGGGCUCUUUUUAUCCUAAAGCUGCACAAUAUUUGCAACAGCUAACAUGACAUUUGCAGAUAAACAGAUUGACAUUUUUUCAAUAGCUGCAUAUAACUUACCAGAGAGAACAGCUGUGCUCAUUUAAAUAGGAAUCACAGUGGGAUCAUUAGAGCAAUGAUGUCCUUGCAACAUAAAGGAGAUUGAUCAUUUGAGAUACCUGUCCCUUUAAGAGAGAGAUCAGAUUUACUACAAAAUGUGUAUAUAGACAUGUGUAUAUAAACAGUACAUGUUGUAUCCAGUAUAUUGUCUGUAUGCUAACUCUGGCAUAGUUACUUUGAUGCUUAUGUUAAUAGGUUGAUCAAUGUGCAUUGUUCUAAUCAAAUAAAUAA